rnacentral:rRNA from 1 species
GCUUAACACAUGCAAGUCGAGCGAGAAUCGUUUUGCUGAAGGCUUCGGUCUGACGCAGAAUGAGGAAAGCGGCGAACGGGUGAGUAACGCGUGGGCAACCUGGCCUUAAGAAAAGGAUAGCCCCCGGAAACGGGGAGUAAUACUUUAUGAGAAUGAUAGAGGGCAUCCUACUUUCAUUCAAAGCGCAAGCGCUUAAGGAUGGGCCCGCGUAUCAUUAGCUAGUUGGUGAGAGAACAGCCCACCAAGGCAACGAUGAUUAGCCGGUCUGAGAGGGCGAACGGCCACAUUGGAACUGAGAGACGGUCCAAACUCCUACGGGAGGCAGCAGUGGGGAAUAUUGCGCAAUGGAGAAGAACUCUGACGCAGCAAUACCGCGUGAGCGAAGAAGGUCUUCGGAUCGUAAAGCUUUGUUAUCAGGGAAGAAGAAAAUGACGGUACCUGAUGAGCAAGUCCCGGCUAACUACGUGCCAGCCGCCGCCGUAACAC